GGCCACACAGCAUCUCCGCCACCCAGAUCUCCUCAGGCUCAGGGGCGAGCACCUUCCGUGGCUCCUCCUCCAACGACUCCUCAGAUUCGUCCCACCACUCCAUCUUCCUUUUCCAGCAAAAGGACCUAUGCGGGGGGCUGGGAUCUACCCCAGGGGCUGAGUAAAGAAACCAGGCCACCGUGUAAUGCUUCUGCAUCUGAUCACCUUAGACCCCGACCCAAAACCCCAAACCACUCUCCAUCCUCCCCAGACUUGCAGACUGCUGGCUUCUCUAAGCCAUCUUUCUGAUUUUCUCCUCUGCUCGACCCCAUGUGCCGCUCCUUCCCCUCCCCAUUCUUCUCUCUCUCUGUCCUCCGAACACUGCUUCAUGUCCUUCCCUGGUCCCUGGCUCUCUGAGUCCCUCCUUUUUUGUUUUGUUUUGUUUUGACACAGAAUCUUGCUUUGUCACCCAGGCUGGAGUGUAGUGGUGCAAUCUCAGCUCACUGCAACAUCCAUCUCCUGGAUUCCAUUUAUUCUUCUGCCUCAGCCUCUCAGGUAGCUGGGAUUACAGGUGCCUGCCAUAAUGCCCAGCUCAAUUUUGUACUUUUAGUAGAGACA
rnacentral:lncRNA from 1 species